CUGGUCUGAGAGGAUGACCAGCCACACUGGAACUGAGACACGGUCCAGACUCCUACGGGAGGCAGCAGUGGGGAAUAUUGCACAAUGGGCGCAAGCCUGAUGCAGCCAUGCCGCGUGUAUGAAGAAGGCCUUCGGGUUGUAAAGUACUUUCAG
rnacentral:rRNA from 1 species